GUUUAUAUAGUUUAAAAAAAACAUUACAUUUUCAUUGUAAAAUUAGGCCCAACCUUUUAAACA
rnacentral:tRNA from 1 species